GCUUAGUAACACGUAGUUAAUCUGCCCUUAGGUGAAGGAUAAGCACGGGAAACUGUGUCUAAUACUUCAUAGGAGUUUAGUGCUGGAAUGCUUUUACUCUGAAACAUUAGGCCUAAGGAUGAGACUGCGGCUGAUUAGCUUGUUGGUGGGGUAACUGCCUACCAAGGCGAUGAUCAGUAGGGGCUCUUAGCGGAGUAGCCCCAAGAUGGAAUCUGAGACACUAUUCCAAGCUCUACGGAGUGCAGCAGCUGCGAAUAUUUUACAAUGCACGCAAGUGUGAUAAAGCGAGCCAAAGUGCUAUCUCUUUUUGAGGUAGCUUUUAUUCAGUUUAAAAAACUGGAUGAAUAAGGACUGGGAAAGAUCGGUGCCAGCCGCCGCGGUAAUACCGACAGUUCAAGUUGCAUCCACUUUUAUUGGGUCUAAAACAUCCGUAGCUUGUUAGUUAAGUCCCUUGUGAAAUCUCAUGUCUCAAGCAUGAGGCUUGCGGGGGAUACUGGCUAGCUAGAGACCGGUAGGCGUAAGGAGUACGGGCAAGGUAGUGGUUUAAAUACGUUAAUCUUGCUUGGACUAACAAUUUAGCGAAAGGCACCUUACGAGGACGGAUCUGACAGUGAGGGAUGAAGGCCAGGGGCGCAAAACGGAUUAGAUACCCGUGUAGUCCUGGCAGUAAACACUGCUCACUAAACAUCGGGGCCUCUUAGGGAGGAUUCGGUGCUGAAGGGAAGCCGAAGAGUGAGCUACCUGGGAAGUAUAGUCGCA
rnacentral:rRNA from 1 species